GUGGGGAAUCUUAGACAAUGGGGGAAACCCUGAUCUAGCCAUGCCGCGUGAGCGAUGAAGGCCUUAGGGUUGUAAAGCUCUUUCAGCUGGGAAGAUAAUGACUGUACCAGCAGAAGAAGCCCCGGCUAACUCCGUGCCAGCAGCCGCGGUAAUACGGAGGGGGCUAGCGUUGUUCGGAAUUACUGGGCGUAAAGCGCACGUAGGCGGACUGGAAAGUUGGGGGUGAAAUCCCGGGGCUCAACCUCGGAACUGCCUUCAAAACUCCCAGUCUUGAGGUCGAGAGAGGUGAGUGGAAUUCCGAGUGUAGAGGUGAAAUUCGUAGAUAUUCGGAGGAACACCAGUGGCGAAGGCGGCUCACUGGCUCGAUACUGACGCUGAGGUGCGAAAGCGUGGGGAGCAAACAGGAUUAGAAACCCUGGUAGUCC
rnacentral:rRNA from 1 species